rnacentral:rRNA from 1 species
CAUGUAGGCGGAUUAAUAAGUUUGAAGUGAAAUCCUAUAGCUUAACUAUAGAACUGCUUUGAAAACUGUUAAUCUAGAAUGUGGGAGAGGUAGAUGGAAUUUCUGGUGUAGGGGGUAAAAUCCGUAGAGAUCAGAAGGAAUACCGAUUGCGAAGGCGAUCUACUGGAACAUUAUUGACGCUGAGAUGCGAAAGCGUGGGGAGCAAACA